ACCAUCCUUUUCUUGGGGUUGAGCUACUGAUCAAUGAAUGUUUAAUGAGGUCAGUACUGCUAACACCACAGACAACACAUGAGCAUCACUAGUGCGCAAGCACUGGACUGGUGCAAUUUUUGGAAAC